GCGGGUAUAGUUUAGUGGUAAAACGGGUGCUUCCCAAGCAUCAGAUGGGAGUUCGAUUCUCCCUAUCCGCACCA
rnacentral:tRNA from 1 species